CCUACGGGUGGCAGCAGUGGGGAAUUUUCCGCAAUGGGCGAAAGCCUGACGGAGCAAUACCGCGUGAGGGAGGAAGGCUCUUGGGUUGUAAACCUCUUUUCUCAGGGAAUAAGCAAGUGAAGGUACCUGAGGAAUCAGCAUCGGCUAACUCCGUGCCAGCAGCCGCGGUAAUACGGAGGAUGCAAGCGUUAUCCGGAAUGAUUGGGCGUAAAGCGUCCGCAGGUGGUUGUACAAGUCUGCUGUCAAAGCGCGGAGCUUAACUCCGUAAGGGCGGUGGAAACUGUGCGACUAGAGUCUGGUAGGGGUCACGGGAAUUCCCAGUGUAGCGGUGAAAUGCGUAGAUAUUGGGAAGAACACCAGCGGCGAAAGCGCGUGACUGGGCCUGAACUGACACUCAUGGACGAAAGCUAGGGGAGCGAAAGGGAUUAGAUACCCCUGUAGUC
rnacentral:rRNA from 1 species